CAUUGGAUGGCUGAUUAAGGCUGUGAUCUCUUAAAUCACCUUAUAGUAACUAGUUUACUUUCAAUGG
rnacentral:tRNA from 1 species